UACGUAGGGUGCGAGCGUUUGUCCGGAAUUAUUGGGCGUAAAGAGCUUGUAGGUGGUUUGUCGCGUCUGCUGUGAAAAUCCGAGGCUCAACCUCGGACUUGCAGUGGGUACGGGCAGACUAGAGUGUGGUAGGGGAGACUGGAAUUCCUGGUGUAGCGGUGGAAUGCGCAGAUAUCUGGAGGAACACCGGUGGCGAAGGCGGCUCACUGGCCCGAUACUGACGCUGAGGCACG
rnacentral:rRNA from 1 species